UACGAAGGGGGCUAGCGUUGCUCGGAUUGACUGGGCGUAAAGGGCGCGUAGGCGGAUAGUACAGUCAGGCGUGAAAUCCCUCAGCUCAACUGAGGACGUGCAUCCGAAACUGCAGGGCUUGAGUACUGAAGAGGAUCGCGGAAUUCCCGGUGUAGAGGUGAAAUUCGUAGAUAUCGGGAGGAACACCAGUGGCGAAGGCGGCGACCUGGGCCAAUACUGACGCUGAGGUGCGAAAGCGUGGGGAGCAAACAGG
rnacentral:rRNA from 1 species